AGGUUGGGAAGUUAUUUUUCAAGACCCCGAGGAAGUGUGAGGUGUAUGGAAUCAGCUGUUAAGGAUCUGGAAAGCAGGUGUUUUACCUUGCAGACGAAGGCCAGUCACAUGGUAAAGCUGCAAAUGCUGUGGUCAGCCAGGUUCACCACUACCUCAACACAUACUGCGAACAGCAUGCUCACUUUCAGUGUGACAACUGUUGCGGCCAAAAUAAAAACAACAUAGUCAUCUGGUACCUUCUGUGGAGAGUUCUUGUAGGUUUACACAGAAUCAUCACACUAAGCUUUAUGUUGAUAAGAGAUACAAACUUUACACCAGAUUGGCACUUUGGCAUCUGAAAGUCAAAGUGGAGAAACUUCAAUGCAGAAAUGUUGUCUGAUGUCGCUGCGUCUUCGGGGUUAUCAUCAAGGACGGGCCACAACAUCCCCCAGCAUGUGGGGGACACUUCCAAUCCUGUUGUUAUCUAAGACAGGAAGGAUUACCUUUCGUCAUUGUUUCACCACAUAAAGAAUGUCACCAAAUUUCAUCAAUUUCCAUGUGUCAGCGGAUCAUCCCGGUGUUGUGGAGUGCAGGGAAUUUAUUGACUCACCAGAAGUCAGAAUCACUCUCAGGAAGGUCUCGAAAGUGAAUGUUAAUGUGAGCUGUGACAACCUGCCAUAAGAAAUGUUUGUGAAAGGGCUUGAUCUGGA